UACGGGGGGGGCUAGCGUUGCUCGGAAUCACUGGGCGUAAAGCGCACGUAGGCGGAUUGCUAAGUCAGGGGUGAAAUCCUGGAGCUCAACUCCAGAACUGCCUUUGAUACUGGCGGUCUCGAGUCCGGGAGAGGUGAGUGGAACUGCGAGUGUAGAGGUGAAAUUCGUAGAUAUUCGCAAGAACACCAGUGGCGAAGGCGGCUCACUGGCCCGGUACUGACGCUGAGGUGCGAAAGCGUGGGGAGCAAACAGG
rnacentral:rRNA from 1 species